UACGUAGGGAGCAAGCGUUGUCCGGAAUCAUUGGGCGUAAAGGGCUCGUAGGCGGCCAACUAAGUCGGAUGUGAAAUCCCCAGGCUCAACUUGGGAACUGCAUCCGAUACUGGAUGGCUUGAAUUCGGGAGAGGGAUGCAGAAUUCCAGGUGUAGCGGUGAAAUGCGUAGAUAUCUGGAGGAACACCGGUGGCGAAGGCGGCAUCCUGGACCGGCAUUGACGCUGAGGCGCGAAAGCUAGGGGAGCAAACGGG
rnacentral:rRNA from 1 species